rnacentral:rRNA from 1 species
AUGCUCGAUUACAGCCAUAAAAUCCUGCAACCUGCACGCACUGAUCAUAAUAUACAGCCCCUUCCCGGCGCACGUUACCACGUCGUGCAUAUACACAAGGAUGUGAUAUGUGUACACAAACGUCACUGCCUACAAUGCCGCGGCGGCCUCGGACUCUGGCGCCCUCUGCUCCUUGGCGGCGUCAACGAACCCCACGUACAGAUCCGAGUGCCCAGUGUCGCACCUGGGCAGCGCCGUCCUCGCGCCGCCGUCGGCCAUGGUCUUCACGAACGCGACGAACCGUCGCCAGUUGUCGCCGUCGAACAGGUUCCGGUUCAUGCGCAGGUACGUGAACGCGCUCAGCCCGGCGGCCUCGGCGGUGGCGGCCACCUGCGCGAACGCCUGCUCGUCGUACCGCUCCAGCGCGUUCUCGCCGGCGAGCUCCACGCGCGCCGCCCGCGCCGCGGCCCUGACCUGCUGCACCAGGAGCUCCGGCGAGCAGCCGGCGUGGCCCGGCUGCUGCUCGUCCUUCAUCUCCAUGCACGUGAAAUUGAGCACGGUGCCGUGCCUGGCCAGCAUCUGCGCGAUGGGCUCGUACCCGUCGUGAUGCCGCGUGUUGUAGUACCCCGCGGUGAGCUCGGCGGCGUGGGAGCGGGUCCGGUAGUGCCAGUGGAUGCCGGCGACCUUGGCAGACAGCGUCACGCCAGUGCCGCCGAAGAUGGCCUCGGCAGCGGCCAGCACGCGGUCGCCGUGCUCCAGGAGCAUCCUGGAGUACCACUUGAGGAAGAAGUGGCCGUACUCGGUGCUCCACGUGCCGUCCCGCCGGAAGAAGCCCGUCUCCUCCGGGAACUGCUUGUACUCACCGGCGUCGUGCGGCCCACUUGUCCCCCAGUUCUCGUGCCCCGCCGCCACGGCCGCCGCCUGCAGCGACGCCCGCAUAUACUUGUCGUAGCACUGGAACUCGCCGAUGCCCGGGAAACUCCAUGUCCCAUUGGCCUCCGGGUAGGAAGGAUACCUCAGCUCGCCGCAGGGGCCCAGGCCAACCUGGACCUCGGCGAUGACGGUGCCAAGGUAGCCGCUGAACCUGUCGCGGAAGCUGCGCAUGUAGUCGGAGUAGACCUGGACGGGGGUCCGGCCCUUGAGCACCGGCAGCGUGUCGCAGCCGAGGGAGAUGUACUCGGGGUUGCGGCGGCCGGACCUGUCCGUGUACACGAUGUCCGUGUCGGCGUUCACCUCCUCCAGAACCCAUGGCGGCAAAGGGAUGCUGCAAACAACAAUUUCAGUCAGCCAUUUGUCCCCAGUUUUUGUUCACUAAUUAUUAUGCACCUAAUUUGA